rnacentral:tRNA from 1 species
GCGAGGGUAGCCAAGUGGUCAAAGGCGCAGCGUUGAGGGCGCUGUCCCGUAGGGGUUCCAGAGUUCAAAUCUCUGCCCUCGCA